UCUCCUAAGCUACGUGUCUCUAUGCUCUCAAAUCACCAUCCCACAAACAUGGAUCAGGUAAUGCAGUUUGUUGAGCCAAGUCAGCGGUUUGUAAAGGACUCAAUUUGGCUGGUUAAAAGAUGUACCAAUCUCGACAGAAAAGAAUUCCAGAAGAUUGCCAUGGCCACAACGAUAGGAUUUGCUAUCAUGGAAUUCAUUGGCUUCUUUGUGAAACUGAUCCAUAUCCCUAUUAAUAACAUUACUAUGGGUGGCUGA
rnacentral:lncRNA from 1 species